GACGAACGCUGGCGGCGUGCUUAACACAUGCAAGUCGAACGAUGAAGCUGGAGCUUGCUCUAGCGGAUUAGUGGCGAACGGGUGAGUAACACGUGAGCAAUCUGCCCUUGACUCUGGGAUAACUGCGGGAAACUGUAGCUAAUACCGGAUACGAGACUCGGAGGCAUCUCUGAGUCUGGAAAGAAUUUCGGUCAAGGAUGAGCUCGCGGCCUAUCGGCUAGUUGGUGAGGUAAUGGCUCACCAAGGCGACGACGGGUAGCCGGCCUGAGAGGGUGACCGGCCACACUGGGACUGAGACACGGCCCAGACUCCUACGGGAGGCAGCAGUGGGGAAUAUUGCACAAUGGGCGAAAGCCUGAUGCAGCAACGCCGCGUGAGGGAUGAAGGCCUUCGGGUUGUAAACCUCUUUUAGCAGGGAAGAAGCGAAAGUGACGGUACCUGCAGAAAAAGCACCGGCUAACUACGUGCCAGCCGCCGCAGUAA
rnacentral:rRNA from 1 species